rnacentral:rRNA from 1 species
CCAGCCCGCUCAGAAACUCAAAGGAAUUGAGGGGCCCGCACAAGCGGAGGAGCAUGUGGUUUAAUUCGAUGAUACGCGAGGAACCUUACCUGGGCUCGAACGUAAGAUGACUGUAGGUGAAAGCUUACAUCUCUUCGGAGCAUUUUACGAGGUGCUGCAUGGUUGUCGUCAGCUCGUGCCGUGAGGUGUCGGGUUAAGUCCCAUAACGAGCGCAACCCCUACCUUUAGUUGCCAUCAGGUAAUGCUGGGGACUCUAAAGGAACUGCCUACGCAAGUAGUGAGGAAGGCGGGGAUGACGUCAAAUCAGCACGGCCCUUACGUCCAGGGCUACACACGUGCUACAAUGGCCGAUACAGAGGGCAGCUACCUGGUGACAGGAUGCAAAUCUCCAAAGUCGGUCUCAGUUCGGAUCGGAGUCUGCAACCCGACUCCGUGAAGUUGGAUUCGCUAGUAAUCGCGCAUCAGCCAUGGCGCGGUGAAUACGUUCCCGGGCCUU